AGCGAACGCUGGCGGCAGGCUUAACACAUGCAAGUCGAGCGGGCAUAGCAAUAUGUCAGCGGCAGACGGGUGAGUAACGCGUGGGAACGUACCUUUUGGUUCGGAACAACUGAGGGAAACUUCAGCUAAUACCGGAUAAGCCCUUACGGGGAAAGAUUUAUCGCCGAAAGAUCGGCCCGUGUCUGAUUAGCUAGUUGGUGAGGUAAUGGCUCACCAAGGCGACGAUCAGUAGCUGGUCUGAGAGGAUGAUCAGCCACAUUGGGACUGAGACACGGCCCAAACUCCUACGGGAGGCAGCAGUGGGGAAUAUUGGACAAUGGGCGCAAGCCUGAUCCAGCCAUGCCGCGUGAGUGAUGAAGGCCCUAGGGUUGUAAAGCUCUUUUGUGCGGGAAGAUAAUGACGGUACCGCAAGAAUAAGCCCCGGCUAACUUCGUGCCAGCCGCCGCAGUAA
rnacentral:rRNA from 1 species